AGUGAACGCUGGCGGUAGGCCUAACACAUGCAAGUCGAACGGCAGCACAGUAAGAGCUUGCUCUUACGGGUGGCGAGUGGCGGACGGGUGAGGAAUACAUCGGAAUCUACUUUUUCGUGGGGGAUAACGUAGGGAAACUUACGCUAAUACCGCAUACGACCUACGGGUGAAAGCAGGGGAUCUUCGGACCUUGCGCGAUUGAAUGAGCCGAUGUCGGAUUAGCUAGUUGGCGGGGUAAAGGCCCACCAAGGCGACGAUCCGUAGCUGGUCUGAGAGGAUGAUCAGCGACACUGGAACUGAGACACGGUCCAGACUCCUACGGGAGGCAGCAGUGGGGAAUAUUGGACAAUGGGCGCAAGCCUGAUCCAGCCAUACCGCGUGGGUGAAGAAGGCCUUCGGGUUGUAAAGCCCUUUUGUUGGGAAAGAAAAGCAGCAGGUUAAUACCACGCUGUUGUGACGGUACCCAAAGAAUAAGCACCGGCUAACUUCGUG
rnacentral:rRNA from 1 species